rnacentral:tRNA from 1 species
CAAAAUGUAGCUUAAUUAAAGCAUUUCGCUUACACCGAAACUAUAUCUGUGGAACUCUGAUCAUUUUGA